CUCUACUGAUGUUGAGGAGACGGAGGAACACGCAUCCGAGGAAGAGGACGACAUUGAGAUGAGUUCUAGUCUGACGAACAGCACAAGACGGAGCCUAAGAGGUAGAGGUAAAGGUAAAGGUAGAGGGAAAUGGAGCAAGCUAAAGGGACCUUGCACUGCAAGUAACCCUAUUGAUAAAUGUUGGCGUUGCCAGCCCGAUUGGGCCAGGCGUCGCAAGAAGCUCGUCAAAUGUGUUCGUGGCUUCGGGUACAGGACCACAGGAGGCAAACGCGGUCGAAUCUACGUGGUCACUAGCAACAGAGACGAUGAUACGGUGAACCCUAGACCCGGAACACUGCGUCACGCUGUGAUUCAGAACGAACCUCUCUGGAUCAUUUUCAAGCACGAUAUGAGCAUUAGGUUGAGCCAAGAGCUAAUGAUUAAUAGUCACAAGACGAUCGAUGCUCGUGGCACUAACGUGCACAUCGCAUAUGGUGCUGGGAUCACGAUGCAGUACGUGCGAAACAUCAUCAUCCAUGGGCUUCACGUCCAUCACAUCGUCCCAUACAAAUUUGAUUUGGAUUAGUUUAGUUAUUUGAUUUUAUUCGACUUUACUAAGGUACAAAUAAACUAUCUCUAGAAGUUUUAGUAAGGGGGUUAAAAUUAUGAAAAAAAAUACUUUGAAAGGGAAACUAUCUCUACACACCCCGGACUUGGACUUGCUACAAUAUUAUAUAAGAAAGACGUGAGAUGAAUUUACGAUCAUGUUUUGUUAUAGUAUUCUUUUAACAGUGAUUUUGGAUUUAUGAUGGGUUUGGUUUUUGUGCAUAUGUGUAUGAUUUUCAGCAACUCUACUGAUGUUGAGGAGACGGAGGAACACGCAUCCGAGGAAGAGGACGACAUUGAGAUGAGUUCUAGUCUGACGAACAGCACAAGACGGAGCCUAAGAGGUAGAGGUAAAGGUAAAGGUAGAGGGAAAUGGAGCAAGCUAAAGGGACCUUGCACUGCAAGUAACCCUAUUGAUAAAUGUUGGCGUUGCCAGCCCGAUUGGGCCAGGCGUCGCAAGAAGCUCGUCAAAUGUGUUCGUGGCUUCGGGUACAGGACCACAGGAGGCAAACGCGGUCGAAUCUACGUGGUCACUAGCAACA
rnacentral:lncRNA from 1 species